rnacentral:rRNA from 1 species
GAUGAACGCUGGCGGCGUGCCUAAUACAUGCAAGUCGAGCGAACAGACGAGGAGCUUGCUCCUCUGACGUUAGCGGCGGACGGGUGAGUAACACGUGGAUAACCUACCUAUAAGACUGGGAUAACUUCGGGAAACCGGAGCUAAUACCGGAUAAUAUAUUGAACCGCAUGGUUCAAUAGUGAAAGACGGUUUUGCUGUCACUUAUAGAUGGAUCCGCGCCGCAUUAGCUAGUUGGUAAGGUAACGGCUUACCAAGGCAACGAUGCGUAGCCGACCUGAGAGGGUGAUCGGCCACACUGGAACUGAGACACGGUCCAGACUCCUACGGGAGGCAGCAGUAGGGAAUCUUCCGCAAUGGGCGAAAGCUUGACGGAGCAACGCCGCGGGAGUGAUGAAGGUCUUCGGAUCGUAAAACUCUGUUAUUAGGGAAGAACAAAUGUGUAAGUAACGAUGCACGUCUUGACGGUACCUAAUCAGAAAGCCACGGCUAACUACGUGC